rnacentral:rRNA from 1 species
UUGGAGGUUAAGGGCAAUAAAUCACAAUGCGGGACUGUUAGUCUUGCAAUUGGAUUGAGAACAACGUACAACUCUUAUCGAUAAGCCAUUGGAGGGCAAGUCUGGUGCCAGCAGCCGCGGUAAUUCCAGCUCCAAUAGCGUAUAUUAACGUUGUUGCAGUUAAAAAGCUCGUAGUUGAAGUGAGGGAGUGUGUGGUCGGGCGAACUUGUUUGGAGUUUUCGCAACCUCCCCCCUCCAAUCGGUGUAGUGGGGUAUUCAGUUAUUCUACUACUCCUUUGGUCGUUUACUGUGAGAAAAUUAGAGUGUUCAAAGCGGGCGUUUGUUUGAAUAGAUUAGCAUGGAAUAAUGAUUGAAGGCUUUCGUGUUCGAUUUGAUUGGUUUGUUCAUGGAAGCAAGGUUAAAAGGAACAGUUGGGGGUAUUCAUAUUCACUAGUUAGUAGGAACUGUCUGUU